CAAUUCAGCAUAGUGUCGCAAUUAUCUUUCUUCACAUUUGUCGCUCUGUCUAUGGCUUCAAGAAAUUCAUAUGCCGCUGAUCAGCGGCGGAGCUUCCCUAGGGCCAACCUGGGAAAUGCCUACCCUCCCACUCCCGCUGCUAAUGUACUACUGUUACAUCAUUGCCACGUGAUGAAACAACAAUUAUGGAGUUUUGCCCAAUCUUUGUAUUGAUGGCCCCCCCUACAUGGGUUAGCCCCUCCUACAAUUCCGAUCAACCUUGGCCAUUGCUGCCGACCAUGACACCACUAGUAUAGGACCCCCUACGACAUACAUUUCAAUGCUUAAUAUUGGUUUCUGGUCAAGAACAUGGCAAAGAGCUUUGAUAAUAGAAGACAUCGGGCGAAAUACUACAAGGGAGGACGAGACAACCAACCAAAGAAAUGAGGACUUGUUUAGACUUAAUGUAUUAUCUCAUUUGAUAUUGCGAUAGACUAGCAGCUAGCACUGCCAGAUUCCCAGCAGUUACCAAAAAUUACAAACUACAUACAGACUAGAGCCGGCCUCCACACCCAGCCUCCGUCGUCUCUUACAAAAACACCUAGGGUUCCUCUACCUCCUGCUGGCACCGGUCCGCCUAGUCUCCUGUGGCUCUAGGACCAUGGAGAGGUGGUGGAUACUGACCAUUACUGGCAGAAGGGCUCUGUUCUUAGAUGUAUCUUUGUGUUUUGUUAGGGUUUAUGUGUUGCUCAGGAAGCUGAGACAGUGAUGUCUCCUUGAAGAUGAAGCAAGCUUAUCCCCACCUAGCCUUUAUUCCGGGGAUACAUCUAACAUCGUCGGAGGACGUGUGGAUGUGUGUCUUCGGCAGUUCUCAUGGGAUUCGAUCGACAAUUUUCAUUAAUGGAUCUAUUCAGAUCAGUUCUUUGUUUGUUUACGUUCGCGUGUCUUCAGGUUGG
rnacentral:lncRNA from 1 species